UGUUCGAAUAAGACACAAGCUGGAUUUAGACGGGUAGAGAUCAAGAGAAGUCGAUAUGCUAAAAGUCAUUACAUUGUGGUCCAGAAUCUUUCAGCGCAAAAUCAAAGUCAAAG